UACAGAGGGUGCAAGCGUUAAUCGGAAUUAUUGGGCGUAAAGGGUUUGUAGGCGGUCGGUUAAGUUAGAUGUGAAAUACCUGGGCUUAACCUGGGAAUUGCAUUUAAUACUGGUUGACUAGAGUAUGGUAGAGGAAAGGGGAAUUUCCGGUGUAGCAGUGAAAUGCGUAGAUAUCGGAAGGAACAUCAGUGGCGAAGGCGCCUUUCUGGACUAAUACUGACGCUGAGGAACGAAGGCGUGGGGAGCAAACAGG
rnacentral:rRNA from 1 species